ACAUGACCCUAGAUAGGAAGGUCUGGAAGACGCGAAUUACGACAGAGGAUUAGGGCCUGUUCGGGUCGCUAAUGUAGGGAAGUAAUUGGUGGGGGUGUAUUCCUGGUAUGAUUCCGUAUUCAAUGUUCUGUUCCGUGUUCCGUGUUCCAUGUUUGUUACGAAUCUGUGUGCUUUCCUCUGCUUUAUAUUCCUGCAUUCCUGCUUUACUCUGUUUUAUAUUCCUUAUGGCUGCAGUAUCUAUGUUAUGUCAUCGGCUUCUGUGCUGUACUAUGUGUUUGUUUGAUAUCUCGUAACUUGAGCCGGGGGUCUUUCGGAAACAGCCUUUCUACUUCAUCAGAGGUAGAGGUAUGGACUGCGUACAUCUUACCCCCCCCAGACCCCACUAAGUGGGAAUACACUGGGUUUGUUGUUGUUGUUGUUGUUGUUGUAAGUUUGGAGAGGGAAAUAUUCAUAGUUUUAGAAUUAUUUAUCUACGCCAGUGACAUCUUCAGCUAGAGUUCCCACCCCCAGGGUUAAGCAAGAGCAGUGGGGUAAGACUUCUAUCUCCAGGUCUCAGAAUAGUGUGAGUGGAAAAUCCAGUUAUCCUCUAUGUCCUAAGUGUGGUAAGAAUCAUCUUGGUCAGUGUUUGUUGUGACAGAAAGGUUGUUAUAGUUGUGGUAAGUUGGGUCAUGAAAUCAAAGAGUGUUCGCAAGCUAAGCAGGGAAAUAGGGAUGCUCGUCCCCAGACUCAGGCUACUAGUGUACCAGCUCCUCUAGGCCGCCCAGUACCUCCUUAGGGCGUAUCAUCCAGUACUGGUAGCGGUCAGCAUCAGAAUCAGUUUUAUGCUUUACCAUCCGGUCAAGAGCAUAAGAGUUCACUAGAUGUUGUUACUGGUAUGCUUCGUGUAUUUUAUCUUGAUGUUUAUCUGUUGUUAGACCCUAAGCCAUAUUUCUCUUAUGUGACCCCCUUAGUUGCAGUAAAUUUUUAAGUAGGUCCUGAAAAGCUUUCUAAGCCCUUCUUGGUUUCUACCCUAGUGGAUGAGUCAGUUAUUGCCAAACAGAUCUAUAAAAAGUGCCCUAUCACUGUCCUUCAUAAGAUUAUGUUAGCAGAUUUAAUAAAGUUAGAUAUGGUCAACUUUGACCUUAUUCUUGAAGUGGAUUGGACCCAUUCCUGUUAUGCAUCUAUAGAUUGUCGCACCCGAGUGGUGAAGUUUUAGUUUCCAGAUGAGCCAGUCUUUAAGUGGAAAGGUAAUUCAGCGUCUCCCAAGAGUCAUUUCAUAUCUUAUCUUAAAGCCAGAAAGUUGAUCUCAAAGGGUUGCAUCUAUCAUCUAGUUUGAGUCAACGACACUAUGUCUGAGGCUCUAACGGUUCAGUCAGUCCGUGUAGUCAAUGAGUUUUCUGAAGUUUUCCCCAAAAAUUUGCCAGGGGUACCUCAUGAUAGGGAAAUAGAAUUUGGUAUUGACCUUUUCCCCAAUACUCAGCACAUAUUUAUUCCUCCAUAUCGUAUGGCUCCAACCAAGCUUAAAGAGUUAAAAGAGUAGCUUAAAGAUCUCCUAGAUAAAGGUUUCAUAAGGCCCAGUGUCUCUUUAUGGGAUACUUCCAUCCAAUUCGUGCGAAAGAAAGAUAGUUCUUUGCAAAUGUGCAUUGACUAUCGUCCUCGAUCUUGGAAUCAAUGUGAUUCUAUUUGGGUCAUUAUUGAUAGAAUGACCAAGUCUGCUAACUUUUUGCUCGUGAGGACUAAUUACUUGACAGAAGAUUAUGCUAAGUUGUAUUUUACAGAGAUCGUGAAGUUGCAUGGUGCUCUAAUUUUGAUCAUUUCGGAUCGUGGUCCUCUAUUUUCAUCCUACUUUUGGAAGUUAUUACAAAUGAGUUUGGGUACUAUAGUGUGCCUUAAUACGACUUUCCAUUAGCAAACGGAUGGACAAGCAGAGAGGACCAUCCAAACAUUGGAGGUUAUGUUGCGGGAUUGUUUGAUUGAUUAUGGUGGUAGUUGGUAUGACCACUUGCCUUUGAUUGAGUUCGCCUAUAAUAAUAGUUACUUUUGAGGCAUUAUAUGGCAGGAGAUGUCGAUCUUCUAUUGGGUGGUAUGAAGUUGGCGAGGGUAAUUUUCUUGGCCCCGAUUUAGUUCACCAAGACUUAGAGAAGGUGAAGUUAAUUCAUGAUAGAUUAAAAACCACUCAAAGUCACCAAAAGUCCUAUACAGAUGUGAGGCGUCGGGACUUGGAGUUUAGUGUCAGUGAUUGGGUAUUGUUGAAAGUGUCUCCAUGAAGGGAGUGAUGCGGUUUGGUAAAAAGGGGAAGCUUACUCCCCAGUAUGUUGGUCCCUACUUUAUUAUGAAGAGGGUUGGUAAUGUUGUUAUGAGUUGGAGUUGCCUUCUAGCAUGGACUCUAUUCACCUAAUUUUCUAUGUCUCUAUAUUACAAAAAUAUGUGGGUGAUCCUCCUAUGAGGAGAUCCCGAUGAGGAUCUUGGAUCGACAUGUUCGCUGGUUGCAAACAAAAAAAUGGCUUUGGUGAAGGUUCUAUGGAGGAACCAAAAGUCCGAGAAAGCUACUUGGGAGGCGGAAGAGGACAUGAAGUCUAAGUAUCUGCAUUUGUUUCCCAUCCCGGGAACUUAUGAUAAAGAUAUGUGUUAAUCUUCUUACGUUGAUUUAAGUCUUGACAGACAAUAGGUUAAAGUACCCAAUGAGUUGAAUUGAGUUAUGCCUUGCUUAGACAAGGGGUUAAAGUCCCCAAGUUUUGAAUUAAUUUGUGUCGUAUUAGACCCUGGGUUCAUGUCCCUAAUGCUUUGAAAUCAUGUUUAUUUUGGUUGUGAUGGGUUCCCUAAUACCUAGAGUUAAUUCAUGUCUUUGAUAAAUGAUGGGUUCGAGUCCCUAGUCUUUAUGUUGAGAAAGUAUCCUUGAUAAGUUGAUGGGUUGAAGUCCCUAAGUUGUGAAAUAAGUAAGUGUUGAUAAGUAAGGGUUAUAAUUCCCCAAAAUUUGAAAUGAACUAGUGUCUUUAAUAAAUGAUGGGUUUGAGUCCCAAGAUCAAUGAAAUGAAAUGGUUGUUUAAUGAUGAUCUUGAUAUGUGUUGUGUUGUAUCCUUAUUGUGUGCUUUGUCCUAACUUUUUUAAAGGUUGUUUUGAUGUGUGAUAAUGUGUUAACUUACAUUUUACUUGCCUUACCUAUCAUUUACAGAUGAAUGAUCCAAGUGGGGAGAAUUGAAACACCUAGGUUUUGAACCACGAGAAGAACCUCUACAUUUGGGUAUCUCUGAGUUGGGUACGACUAGGGGCAUGAGGCGUACCCCUUGUAUAUGAGUCAUAUGCUCUUUUCCCUCCCCUAUCAUAUCCUAGGUAGUAUGGCGAGGGUUUCUCACUGUCCUAGGAACGAGUGAGGAGUGACCCCCUCCUCAAUCGUACCAAAGGGUAUGAGUCGUACCAAGUGAGUUGUAUAGAGUUUGGACUUGAACUUUGAGUGGACUAUUUUUUAUACGGUUGAAGCAUACGAGUUAGGGUUGAGUAUUACCCUUUAUAUAUGACUCAAGGGUGUGUGGUCAUACCCUUGAUAGUGUAGGUGACUUAGGAGAAGCCUAAGGUAUGAGUUAGGGUACCACUCGUACCCUAGGGUACAGUUCCUGUAAUGAGUUGUACCCUUGGACGGGUCCAUUUUCCAUAUUUUAACUAAUGUCCUUGUGGUGAUUUACUAUGCCUAAAACACUAAGUCCCAUCACUAUAUAAGUGCUUGUAGCCUCCUAAACAUCCAUUUUAAUGGAUCAAACACCCUAAACACUCUCAAACUCAUCUUUGAAGAAUCUAAGACUGGGGCUCAAGAGUGAUCUUCAAGAGGCAAAGUGAAGUCAAGACUCUUGGUGAAUCAAGUUGUCUAAGGCAUUUAACUCUUCCCCUUGAUAAAUAAACCUAAACCCAUGUAUUUUACACUUGAAUUAGUAAGUGUACAUGGUGAUUUUGAAAUCGAAUGAAAAGGAUUUUGUUGCCUAAUGAUGAAUAAUGUUGACUUUUGCUUAAACUUGUGUUUAUACAUUUUAAUGAUGAUGAUUUGCACAUGUGGGUGCUUUUUGUGUGUGCUAUAGCAUGUGAGUCUUGAGUAACUCUAAUCUUGAUGGUUUCUACCAUGAAAAUGGCGUUGGUAAAGGCAUGCACACAAGGUGUUUGUGAAAAUGUCUAAGUGAAUUGUCUAGUCUUAUGUUGAUGAUGUGUUGAACUAUGGCAAUGUCCCAAUAAGUAUGAAUAGUUGUUAAAUGAUAUUUUAAAGGUAUUAUAAACCAUGUAUGAUGAAAUUGAAGACCUUGUUGGUUGAUGGUUAAUGAGGGGUUAAAGUCCCUAAAUAUGAAAAUAAACUUGAAUUGUGUGUUUAACUAAAGUGUAGUAUGAAUAUGGUAUAAGAUUGCUAAUGAAAUGUGAAUAUUUUUUAGGGUCUAGAUGACCAUAAAUUGAAUUGUAUGAUGAAUUGAAUUAAGGCCUUGUCCUAUUUAAAUGGUUGAGCAACAAAGGCUCCCAUGAGGACCAUGUGGUCAUGUAGAGUGUUGAAUUGUCUAAAUAGGUUAAAUUCCUUAAGUGUGGAUUGAAUAUAUGAUAAUGAAUGGACAAAUGAUUGGAGUCCCAAUGUCGACUAAUGAUAGCCGUAAUGGGUUGAGGUUAAAAUCCUUUUCCUAAUGAAAGGGCUUGAGGUUAAAGUCCCUUGCCUAGUAAAAAUCUCUUGCGGUUAAAGUCCCUUGUGCGAUGAGAUCUAUUGAGGUUGAAGUGCCUUGCCAAAUGAAAUGGAUUGGGUUAGAAUCCCCUAUCUAAUACAGCAUGAGGUUAGAGUCCCUUGCAUAAUGUAUGGGAAUGUGGUUAGAGUCCUUUACCUAAAUGAAUGUGAGUGUAUGGUUAGAGUUCCUUGCUUUAAUGGAUGUAUGUGUGGUUAGAGUCGUUUUCUUAAUGAGUUUUUACAUGGUUAAAGUCCUUCAUCUAAGUGAUAUGUGGAUGUGGUUGAAGUCCCAUACCUAAUAAGAAUUGUUGAAUUUAAGUGCGGAAAGGUCGGAGUCCUCUAUUUUUUGUGUGAUAAUUGAUUGCUUGAGGAUGUUGUUAUGACUUGUUUACUUGUAUAGAAUGUGAUAUGCCUAUAUGUAUGGAUGAGGUCACAAAUAUGGUUGAAUAUGAUAUAUUGACUUGUUGUUGAUUGAUGAUGCUAUUUUAUCCUUAUUCUUGAGUUACAUUCUAGCGUUCCAACCGCUAACCGUCUCCGGAUGCUAUGUCCCCAUGCGACAUAAGGGACGGAGCAUUAUCUUUCCUUCCUGUAUAGUGAUUAGGUGAUCGAAGCGGUUCGUGCAUUGACUUUGGAGUGAUGAGCUUUUUUACUUUGGAAGACAUUCCUUCUUGAUCUACUAUCUUUUGAUUUAAUCUUAUUUUGAUUUGGUUUGGCUAUCGUCGAGGGCUUGACCCAAAAUAUAUAUUUCUAAACAACAGUUUGUAUAGAGGUAUUGUGGAUGACUGUGGACUUGGGUAUAUUGGCUAGUUUGAUGAAUCUAAUGAAGUGUUUAGACAUGUUUAAGUUAUGACUUGUAGUAUAUUUUUUGCUAUCUUAUUAUAUGAUCGGGAUUCAUCCGCCCUUUAUGAUGGAUGUGAUGAUAAUUGGGUUGGGUUAUCAAGGCGACCUUUGGUUUAUGUGGGCUUAAGGUGCCCCUACGACAUGGCCCAGUUUCAGGGCGUGUCAUAUCUGAGUAAAUAAUAAGACUCAUGGUUUCACUGAAUUAUUAUUUGAAAGAUCUGAAAUCAUGUAAACACAUAGGUAUCGGGUGUUCAUAACCCACCAACACUGAAUGACCAUAAAAACAUAAUAUCAACGCUUUAAACUAUAUGAUGGUAAUCAUGGUUCGAGGACCCAAAACAUAGACAUUUCAUCAAACAUGUGAGAAUCAUGAACUUGAACAUGGGAAUGUGUUAGACAUAUGAAAUCAACAUGAUUACAUAUCUAAAUUCAUCUUGAAUAAUGACAUGGGAAAUUAUAGUUUCAAACAUGAAUUAACCUAAUCUUUCAAGGGAUCAUACGUGAACAUGAAAUUGAGUUUAAUUACUAAGAAAGGACAUGAAUUUAACCUAUCUUGAACACAAAACUCCAUAAUAAGAGACAAAUCCAUAAUUUAGUUGAAAAGAAGGUUUUUGGGCUCCAUGGGUGAAAAGGACCUAUGGAUGAACAUCCCACAUACCUGAAGUAGAAGCUUUGGGGAAAUUUCUUUGAAGUUGUUCUUGACCUUGAGAAACCCUAGCUGCUUGGGAAAGAUAGAGAAACCAUUUUCGCUUGAUUCUAUUUAGUAAAUUGAUUUUAAAUAAUGUAAAUCGGGGAUUUGGGGACUUUUAUACCACCUCUUGUGAAGCCAAAACGGCAUGGGUUUGGAUUUUAAGGGAGCGAGGAAAGACAUAAAAGCCCCUGGAAAAACAUGCAGAAAAUCGCAUUCCCAGUCGGUACGAAUCGACCUUAUGAAUCAUAUGUUAGGGUACGACUGGACUGCUGACUCAUAAGCUUUGUAGAUUUCAAAGAACCUAUAUGGUCUGGAUACGAGUCGUACUUCCAACUCAUAAUAAGAUGCCUAUACGAUUUGUUAAAGUCACUCAUAAGAUGAACAUACAACUUGGGGAACCAAUACUCCUAUUGAUACGACUUCUCACUAUAUGAUUCAUACCUUUGUAUAUGACUAGAUACCCCCCUCAUAUCCUAGACAGAACCUUAAAAGGUCAACACUGAUGUCUAUACGGCUAGAUUAAUACGACUCAUACCUCUCUUAACUACCCAUAGGGUCAAGUCGUACCUGUAACAGAAUGUUUAACAUGAUAUACUAACUUAGGUACGAGUCCAACACACGACUCGCACACUAGGAUACGACUGAGGAUCAUGAGUCGUAUGCUGCAUAGAGACUGAAAAAGAUACGCGGCAACAAGAGUGGCAAAGUGUAGAGAAGCAUUGCAUAAUGUUUAGAGUUAGAUAAAUAUUGCAUGAUAUUUAAAGUCAGAGGACUAGUGCUAUAUUAGAUACAAUUUUAUUUGAAGAUGAAAAUGAUAUAAAAGAUAAACUAUCAAGUAGAGUAAUAUAGGGAAGAGUAUCUAUAAACAAAAAUCCAGGAUGAAGUGGCUGCAAGUUGAUGACUACUUAUUUUAUAGUAUGAAAGGUAGAUAGCUACAGAAUCAAAUUGUAAUGCUCACUAUUGGCACUGGAUCUUAGAUUAGGCACUCAACUGACUUCUAGAAGGAGGUGAUGUAGUACUAUAAAUAGCUCCUAGGAUAAGCAACUGAGUCACUGCCUGCUAUUGAUCCUAACAUUUUGUUGACUAGUCCAAGGCUUACUAGAGAACUACAACUCCAUUUGAUGUGCCCUUUCACAAAAUUGAUAUUUUUAAUACUCUUCAGGGGAUUGAUGACAUGAAGGCCCUAGGAAGUGAUGAAUUUAAUGCCCAUUUCUUUAAGAAGUCCUGGUCUAUUAUAGGGGAUGAGGUGAGUAUUACAGUACUUUAGUAUUUUGAAACUCUUAAGAUGUAUGCCCCAAUUAAUACUACCUCAGUAACUUUGAAACCUAAAAUUAAACACCCUUCUACCAUCAAAGGCGAAAGGCCUAUCUCUUGUUGCACCAUCUUAUACAAAAUUAUUUCAAAAUUGCCUACCCAUAGGCUAAAGCCUUUUAUGGAUUAUUUAGUAAAUGAUGGUUAAACGACUUUUGUUCAAGGUAGAAUGUUGAGUGAUAAUGUAAUAAUGAGUCACGAGCCAGUGAAAGGCUAUGGUAGGAAAGGUAUAUACUCAUGAUGCAUGAUUAAAAUUGAUAUGCAAAAGGCUCAAUGACACUCUAGAAUGGAAAUUCUUGGAGCAGGUUUACAAGGACUAAACUUUUCUGGGAUAUUCAUAUCAUGGAUUUGAGGUGUAUGCAAAUUGUUUCUUAUUCUAUUUUGGUAAAUGGUUGUCGCACAGUUUCUUUUGCUACUGAGAGAGGAAUUAUAUAGAGAAAUCCACUCUCCCCUUACUUAUUUGUACUAGCAAUGGAGUACUAAAAAAGGCUACUCAAAGUGUUACAACAAAAAAUAGGUUUUCAAUAUCAAGUUGCAAAAAAACUCAAGCUUAUUCAACUCAUUUUUGCAGAUGAUUUGUUGUUGUUUUGUAGAGGGGAUAUGAGAUCUACUAGCUUACUUCAUCAGUGUUUUUAAUGCUUUUCAAAGGAUUUUGGUUUGGUUGCAAAUUAGAGCAAGAGGAAUUUUUAUUUUGGUGGAGUGAAGGACAGUUUUCAAUAGGAAAUCUUAUAGAAUCUUUGUUUCACCUUAGAUAGAUUACCUAUCAAGUACCUUGGUAUUCCUUUAUGCUAAAAAAAACUCACUAUAGCCUAGUGUCAACCAUUAAUUGAUAAAAUGCUAGGGAAAAUUACUACCAGGACUACAAAGCUUUUGUCUUAUAUUUAAAGGUUACAACUGUUGAAGAGUGUUUUGCUAGUUGUGCAGUCUUUCUGGUCUAACAUCUUUCCCAUUCCUAAAGGUAUAAUACAGGAGAUUGAUACAAUGUGUAGAAUAUUUCUUUUGGACAGAUGAGGUGGAGGACAAGAAGAAGACUUUGAUUACUUAGGACAAGUUAUGUCAGCCAAAGGUAGCUGGAGGGAUGAAUAUCAUGUUCAGAUAGUUGUGUCUGUUAAAAAAAAAGACACAAUGUUUUGAAUGAACAGACAUGACUCUUUCAAAGGAUACACCUUUUCGGAUGAACCAUUUCCACCUUUCGAAAGGGGCACUUGAUGGCUAUAUAAAUCGGUAUUUAUCCACAGGUUUUGGUAAGAAAAAUUUUCUGAAAUACAAACUCUUCUUGUCUUCAAAACAUUUCUUGUGAUCAAUCAAAUCGUUAAGUGAGUUCGAUGAAUCCAAUUAUUUGAGGUACCACUAUAGUUGGAUUGAAAGUCAUUUUAUCUUGGGAGAAAUAUUCCAAAACCUCGGGUACAGUGAGGGGAAUUAUUCCUUAAGGACAUUCCGUGAAGUCGGAGGACUUGGCUUUAAAUUUUUGUUUCAUCUUAAUUUCUGAAAAAGUAAAACACACUUCUUAGAAAGGUCACUUUGAUCUUGUGUUGUUGGUGUUGUUGUACUUCAUAGUGUUCUUGUUUUAAACUUGAACUAGUGUUGAAAUUAUUGUGUCAAAUUACAGAUUCUUGUACCCGAAAACAUUGAAGAACAACAAAUUAAGGAAUAAUUUUUAGACAAAAGAAAAAAAAUAUUUAUUUUUGCUUGUUUGGUGAAUUUUCUUUUUACUAUUUUUUUUAAUUUGUAUAGCUUAGUUUCUAGAGAUUAAAGCUUUUAUAUUUCUACUCCUUUUGAACUUAACUAGUGAUUUGAAGAAAUAAAAUCUUCAUCACGAGUUAAAGAUCACUCGGUUGACGAUUGGAAGUCAUAAAAACUUCAUCAUUAAACUAGAAACAAGAAGUGUUUAAAGUUGUUGUAAUUUUUUAAUGAGUAUUUCAAUAUACUUAAGGUACUAUCUUGUGGUGAUAGGAAAAUGAAGAAUGAUAGUCAAAUGCAUGAUGCUGGAACGACUAUGGCAACAACUAUUAUUGCCACGACUAGUCUACUAAUGCUCCACAAGCUAUGGCACCAGCGGAGAAACCUGGAAAGUUCACGGGUAUUGACUUCAAGAGAUGGAAGUAUAAAAUGUUCUUCUACCUGAAAACUCUGUGUUUUUAAAGGUUAACGGUUGAAGAAGCUUUGGAGGUGCCCGAGCGAACCUCUAAAAAAGACUGCUUCGUGAUUGUGGAGGCUUGAAAAUACUCAGAUUUCCUUUGCAGGAAUUAUAUCUUGAGUGGUAUCCAAGAUGAUCUUUACAAUGUGUAUAGCGGAACCAAGACUGCAAAAGAGUUAUGGGGAGCGCUAGAACGGAAGUACAAGACGGAGGAUGCCGGAACUAAAAAGUUCUUUGUUGCAAGAUUCCUGGAGUACAAAAUGAUAGACAGCAAGUCUAUUGUUUUCCAAGUGCAGGAACUGCAAGUGAUCAUCCAUGAUCUCCUAGAGGAAGGUAUGAUUUUGAAAAAUACCGUUGUUGAAUAAUUUUAAAAUGUUCUUAGUAUUCACAUGAACUUUAUUGUAGGUUUGAUUGUGAAUAAAGCGUUUCAAGUAGUGGCAAUAAUAGAGAAGAUACCACCUAUGUGGAAGGCUUCAAAAAAUAUUUAAAAUACAAACGUAAGAAGAUGUCAGUCGAAGAUCUGAUUGUAAGACUAUGUAUUGAAGAAGAUUACCAGGCUGCGAAAAAAGGUCAAGAGGCAGUUCUGCAAUGAGUUGAGAAAACAUUGUAGAAGAUGACCAAAACAACUCUAAAAAGCAAAAGAAAACUGGAAAUGAAAGAAAGCAACCCAAGAAGAAAUUCAAGGGAAAGUUCUUCAACUGUGGCAAGAUUGGCCAUAAUUCUACAGAUUGUCGUGCCUCAGACAAAGGAAAGAAGAAGGACCAAGCAAAUCUGGCUGAGUCUAAGAAAGAAAUAGAUGAUCUGUGUGCUAUGCUUUAUGAAUGCAACUUGGUGGGAAAUCCUCACGAAUGGUGGAUGGAUUCUGGUGCCCCCCACCAUGUUUGUGCUAACAAGGAGUUGUUUUCAACGUUCGCUCUGGCUCACGUAGAAGAAAAAAUCUACAUGGCAAACUCCGCUACUGCAAAAGUGAAAAGAACAGGAAAAGUGUGCUUGAGAUGACUUUCGGCAAAGGGGUGACACUUAACAAUGUCUUGUAUGUUCCUGAGUUAUGAAAGAACUUGAUUUCUGUUUCACUUUUAGACAAGAACGGAUUCAAAUGUGUAUUUGUUUUCGGAAAAAUUGUACUUAGUAAAGGAGAAGUGUAUGCAGGAAAAGGCUACCUUAAUAAGGGCCUAUUUAAAGUAAAUGUAAUGAAUGUUGAAAUCAAUAAAAGUUCAUAUUCUUCUUACUUGCUUGAGUCUCCCAAUUUGUGGCAUGAACGGCUAGGCCAUGUUAAUUAUAAAACAUUAUGAAAACUGGUUAACUUAGAAGUUUUGCCAAACUUUGAGUACAAUAAAUCAAAGUGUCAAACUUGUGUGGAUUCAAAGUAUGCUAAGCAUUUGUAUAAGUCCAUUGAAAGGAAUUUCAAUCCCUUAGAUUUAAUCCACAGUGACACUUGUGAUAUGAAGUCAACACCAUCACAUGGUGGGAAAAAGUAUUUCAUAACUUUCAUUGACGAUUUCACUACAUAUUGUUAUGUCUACUUGCUAAAUAGUAAGGAUGAAGCAAUAGAUGCAUUUAGGCAAUACAAAACUGAAGUUGAAAAUUAGUUAGAGAAAAAGAUCAAAACAAUAAGAAGUGGUAGGGGCGAAGAAUAUGAAUCUUUCUUGGCCAAAAUAUGUGUAGAGAAUGGAAUUGUACAUCAAACUAUGGCCUCGUAUUCACCUCAAUCUAAUAGAAUUGUGAAAAGGAAAAACCAAACUUUGAAGAAAAUGAUGAAUGUCUUACUUAUAAGUUCAGAUUUACCGCAAAGCUUGUGGGAGAAUGUUAUCCUUACAGCCAACCAAAUACUCAAUAGAGUUCUCCAUAGUAAUACACAAUCAAUUCCUUAUGAAAAAUGGAAAGAAAAGAAACCCAACUCGAAAUAUUUCAAAGUGUGGGGAUGUCUAGCAAAGGUCCAAGUUCCUAUGCCUACAAGGAUUAAGAUAAGACCUAAGCCGGUGGACUGCGUGUUCAUAAGAUAUGCUAAAAGUAGUAAAGCAUGUUGAUUUUUGGUUCCUAAAUCCGAACAUCCAGAUAUUAAUGAAAAUACGGUAAUUGAAUCAGAUAAUGCUUAAUUCUUUGAAAACAUUAAUCCGUAUAAAACUAGACAUGAACAGUCUAUUGGAGGGUCUAAACGACCUCGAGAUGAAUCAAGUGAGAAUGUACAUAAUGAUAAGAAUCUAAGAUGUAGUACACGUCAAAGAACAUCAACUUUAUUUGGAUCAGAUUUGGUAACAUUUCUCUUUGAAAAUGAGCCUCAAACAUUUAAGGAAGCGAUAGCGUCUUCAGACUUAUCCUUUUGGAAAAAGGCAGUCGAUAGUGAGAUUGAUUCAAUCUUAAGCAGCCAUACAUGGGAAUUGGUUGAUCUUCCUCCAGGAAACAAAUCUUUAGGAUAUAAAUGGAUCUUCAAAAGGAAAAUGAAAGGUGAUGGUACUAUUGACAAAUACAAGGCAAAACUUGUAGUAAAAGGCUUCAAACAAAAAGAAGGCUUUGAUUACUUUGAUACAUACUCGCCGAUAACAAGGAUAACGUCGAUUCGAAUGUUAAUUGCCCUGGCGACAGUAUAUGGUCUUGAAAUCCUUCAAAUGGAUAUGAAAAUUGCAUUUCUAAAUAGAGAAUUGGAGAAAGAAAUUUACAUGGAACAACCUGAGGCUUUUUUGGUUCUAGAAAAAUAAGAUAAGGUGUGUAAACUUGUUAAGUCACUUUAUAGACUAAAACAAGCACCUAAGCAAUGACAUGCAAAGGUUGACCAAACCAUGUUGGCAAAUAGAUUCAAAAUUAAUAAAUGUGAUAAAUGUGUUUAUAUUAAAGACACUUCAAAUCACCAAGUCAUUGUGUGUUUAUAUAUGGAUGAUAUGUUGAUCAUCAAUAGAAACAUUUCAGACAUAAAUGCAACGAAACGAAUGCUCGAGAGCAAGUUCGAUAUGAAAGACCUUGGAGUUGCGGAUAUGAUCUUAGGGAUAAGAAUCCAUAGAACUCCAUAAGGUUUGGCAUUGUCAUAUUCUCAUUACAUCGAAAAGAUACUUGACAAAUUCAAGUAUAUGGAAUUUGGUAUUGUCAAGACUCCAUUAGAUGUGAGCUUUGCACUUUAAAGAAUGAAGGUGAAAGUGAUUCACAAUUGGAGUACGCAAGAGUAUUGGGAUAUUUAAUGUAUAUUGAGUUGUGCACGACCAGACAUAGCAUGCCUUAUUAGUAAGUUAAGUCGGUACACGAGGAAUCCUAAUAAAACUCAUUAGAUGGCAAUGAAAAGAGUUUUGGGGUAUCUUAAAUACACUCAAAACUAUACUUUGCAUUAUAAUAAAUAAUAUGUGGUACUUGAAGGUAUAGUGAUUCAAAUUAGAUCACCGAAUCAAACGAAGUAAAAUCCAUGAGUGGAUAUGUAUUUACUAUCGGUGAAGGAGCGGUCUCUUGGAAAUCAUCCAAAUAGACUUGUAUUGCUCGCUCUAUAAUGGAAUCUGAAUUUAUCGUAUUACAUGAAGAUGGUGAAGGAAAAGAAUGACACCAAAAUAUCUUGGAAGAUAUUCCUUAUUGUCCCAAACCAGUGGCACUAGUAUGUAUACAUUGUGAUAGCCAAACGGCGAUAGGUAGGGCAGAGAGCAUGAUGUACAACGUAAAUCUUGUCACAUAAGACAGAGACAUAAUACCAUUAGAGAACUUUUCUCUAGUGAAAUUAUCACUGUUGACUAUGUGAAGUCAAAGGAUAAUAUGUCGGAUCCACUUACAAAAGGCCUAUCUAGAGAAGGAGUUGAGAGAACAUCCAAGGGGAUGGAUUUAAGGCCUAGGACAAGUCAGCAUGGCGGUAACUCUACCUAGUAGACUGGAGAUCCCAAGAGCUAGGUUCAAGGAGAUCAAACAAAGUUGUGUCUGACAGGUUUAAUAUUGUCAAAAUACCAACACAUUCUCAUGAAUAUACAAUGUUUAGUAAACAAGGAUAAGACUUAAGGUGAAAUUUUUUUUAAUGAUUAUCUAAAUUUAGCAGAUUUGACCAAAUAGUUUAAUCUAUAAGAUUGAACAUUUAGCAAUCCCCUAUGUGAGGGUAAAGUGGAAGUCACUUCAAGGAGAAUGUUAGUAAGGACUUAUUCUCUAAACUCUCAUGAAACCGGGACGUGUUCAUGGCUGAAAAGAACAAAAACGUGAGAACCAUAAAUGGUAAAAGGUUGGUUGUGUGACAUGUGUUGUCUAGGUGUACAUUAAAGCUCGAUGGUUCAAAGAUAUCAAAUCUACCGAUUGACCGAGUGCAUCCGUUGCAUGUUCACUAUGAAAAGUUCAAAGGGAAACCCACUUAUCCUGAUGCAAUCAGUCUUUGCUUGAUGAUCACAUAUUUGUCUAUAAAGUUUUACAAAGAAUAGUCAUUCCCCAUUCAUGUGGGGAAUUGUUGGGUUUAAUUGGUGUGAAUGAAAAAUAGAGGGACACAACCUUUUAUGAAAAGACAUAUUAUUUUGGAAAAGGAGUGACUGUUCAGAUAGUUGUGUCUGUUCAGAAAAAAGACACAAUAUUUUGAAUGAACAAACAUGACUCUUCUAAAGGAUACACCUUUUCGGAUGAACCAUUGCCACCUUUUGGAAGGGGCACUUAAUGGCUAUAUAAACCUGCAUUUAUCUACGGGUUUUGGUAUGAAAAAUUUUUUGAAAUACAAACUCUUCUUGUCUUCAAAACAUUCCUUGUGAUCAAUCAAAUCAUUGAGUGAGUUCGAUGAAUCUAUUUAUUUGAGGUACCAUUAUAGAUGGAUUAAAAGCCAUUUAUCCUGAGAGGAAGAUUCCUAAACCUCGAGUACAGUGAGGGGAAUUAUUCCUUAAGGACACUCCAUGAAGUCGGGGGACAUGGCUUUAAAUUUCUGUUUCAUCUUAAUUUCUGAAAAAAUAAAACACACUUCUUAGAAAGAUCACUUUGAUCUUUUGUGGAUGGUGUUGUUGUACUUCAUAGUGUUCUUGUCUUUAAACUUGAACUAGCGUUGAAGUUAUUGUGUCAAAUUACAGAUUCUUGUACCCGAAAAUAUUAAAGAACAAUAUGUCACUGAUAUUUAUGCUCGGAACAAGGUGACCAUCUUGAAACAGUAAUGGCAUCUGUCUAAAUUAAAGUACAAGUUAUGGGUAAAGUGGAUACAAUUAUUUUUAAAAGGAAGAGCACCAUGGGAUGUUGAGAUAAAACAAGCUUAUUAGAUCAUUAGGCAGAUUCUAUAAGCAAGUAAUUAUUUGGAAGAGGUUAAUCUGAGCAUAUCAAUCGUCUUAAACGUUGUUUUGUCUAUCAAGGAUGUUUACAAAAAGUUUAGAGGGGAUUUUCCUAAGGUUGAGUGAAGAACACUGAUUUGGGACUAUCUUUAACACCCAAAUAGUCCUAAAUGGAUCUUUAUGUUGUACUUAGCCAUCCAAAACAGGUUGUAUACCAGAGACAGGUUAGACAAAUGGGAUACAUAGACUAUCUUUACUUGUCCUCUGUGUAAAGUAGGGGGGAGAGUCAUGUUCAUCUAUUUUUUCUGUGGGAAUUAUAGUUUUGAUGAUUGAUUUAUGAACCAGGUUCAUGUUUAUUAUGAACCAGGAUCUCGAUUUUUAUGGGGUUGAUAAUUGACUUUUGUAAUAGGUUCAUGUUUAUUAUGAACCAGGAUCUCGAUUAUUGUGGGGAUGACCUAUUUGGCUAGGUGAUGUGCAACAUCUAAUUGUUUAAAUAAGGAAUGCAUAAUUAACGUUUUGAAAAGAAUCCAAAAUCUUACUGUUAAAAGGAAAUUCUUUUAUUAUGGUAAAGAAGUGUAUUCUAGCAGGUUUCCUUAUGCAAGUUGGUUUCCAUAAGGAAAAGUUUUUUGGUGACCUAAACGGAGUCAAAGUGCAAGCAGUAUAUAUGCAGCAUUACUGUGAAUUGGUGUACAUUCCUCCUUGCAAACGCACAGAUCUAAAAAUUGCUAAAAAGCAAGAAUGAGCAAGAAAAUAAACGAGCAAUAACUAUUUGGUGCUGUCAAUAUAAGUGUUUUUUUUGAGUUGUAAUUGUCUUUGUUUUAUUGAUAGAAGUGAAGUACUGGUGAGGUGUUGUAACAAAAAGCGAGUUUGACUUCUUGGAGCGAUUAAGUUGUGUGAAGAACAAUUAGAGUUAACUGUUGAAGUGAGAUACUCGAGUGAGUCCCUUAGAUUGCGGAGCUGUAAUCUAAAAUGUUAUGAAAGUAAUGGAGAUUGGAGUUGAAAUCUCCUAACAAAAUUCUGUGUACAGUUUGCUUUUACUGUUAUUAUGUUUCUUUGAACUAGGUUCCAAAUACGUGUGGUGAAGUUAGAUGUUUUAUCAAUUGGUAUCAGAGACGGUCUUUUCAAUAUAAGGUUAACACCUUGAAAAGGAUCCAUGGUUUUCCCAUCAACAUCCCAGGAAGGAACCUCACAGACCCGUCCUCCUCUUUUCAACAGACAAUACUACAGAUGGUGGAAAAAGAAUAAUGGAUUUUAUUAUCGGAGAAAAUCAUGAUCUAUGGAAUGUUGUGCUUAAUGGACCAAUAAUCCCCACCAAGCUUGGUGAAGAUGGCAAGACUCAGGUUCCGAAAGGAAGAUUGGAGGUAGACGCAAAUGAUAAGAUAAAUGUUAAGAACAAUGCGAAGGCCAAAAAAAUCCUAAUAUGUGGCAUUAGACUUGAUAAAUACAAUAGGAUAUCAUCUUGUGCCACCGCAAAGAAAAUUUGGGACACUCUACAAGCAACCCAUAAAGGUACCAGCCAAGUAAAGAAAUCUAAAAUUGAUUUUCUUAACAGGAAAUAUGAACUAUUCAGGAUGAAGGAGGGAGAGACCAUUCAGGAGAUGCAUACCAAGUUCACGUUAAUUGAAUAAGAUUUACUCACUCGGUGAAGUUGUUCCCAGCGGAAAGGCAAUUCAAGAACUUCUCAGUGUGUUAUCAGAAUCAUGGGAGAGCAAAGUUGAAGUAAUCUCUAAAGCAUGUAAUUUGGACACUCUGACUAUGGAUGAGCUAAUAGGAAAAUUGACUACUUUAGAGCUCAAAAAGAAUCAAGAAUGUGAGAUGACUGGUGGUAGAAAAGAAAAAAAUAUGGUUCUAAAGGCCACUGAUAAAGCUGAUUUUGAGGGAAAAAAUAUGGAUCUCAUAACCAGAAGGUUCCAAAAGAUGUUCUGAAAAGGUAUGAGCUCAUAGAGAAAGAACUAGGUCUCCAACAAUAAUGAAAAGGCAAAUCAUGACCAAGUAUGUCAUAAAUGUGGGAGCCCAGACCACUUCAUUAAAUUUUGCCCACAAUGGGAGAUUGAAUACAAGAAGAACCAUUCGGACAAGGCAAAGGAACAAAGAAAGGAGCGCACCAUUCCUUCAAAUCGAAAGAUGACUGCUCAUGAAGCCGACAUAACGUGUGAAGAAGGAAUUGGUGUCAUGGGUGACUCUUCGGAAGGAGAAUCUGAUAAUGAUCUUGAAAAUCAAUCUCUACUGGCCAUUGACUGCUUAAACGGAGAAGAUACCCUGGCUCUCAUGGCAUUUUCAGAUUCUGAUGAGGAGAAAAGAGACAAGGAGUCAAAGGAGAACAUUCUUGCACUGAUGGCAAGUUCUGAUUCAGAUGAAGAUGAUGAGAAGCAACUCGAGGUAAGUUUUCAAGACAUAAAAUCUAAAAUCAACACUUUCUCUAAGAAGAAACUAGAAUCCUUGUCGACUGUUCUUAUAGAGGCAUACUACUCAGUGUCAUCUGAAAAAGACCAACUCAUGAAUGACUAUUCCUCUUUGAGAAUUGACUAUAAGGAUCUUGAGGAUAAAAAUACUUCACUUGAGAAUUAUGUUGUAAAUUUUGAAAAAGAAAACAAUCGACUUGGCUCACUCCUCAAAGGUAAAAGUGAAAUCGAUUUCUCUUAGAUUGCAUUAGAAGAAAAAGUUAAGAAAUUAACCAAAGAUCUUCAAACUGUAACUGAGAGAAAUAGAAUUUUACUAGAAAACCUUGAAAAAACCAAACUUGAUUUGGAGCGGCAUGUCAAAUGGACCAAGUCCUCACAGAUGUUGCUCCAAAUUCAAGAAAGCCAGUCUACAAACAAACAUGGCUUGGGAUAUGAAAAGGAGAAGCAUCCUGAACAGGAGACACUUAUCUCUCAGGAAAGUCUCUGUACUCAUUGUGGUAGAACUGGUCACAUUUGAAAUCAGUGCCAGGAUAGAUUUAAGGGGAUUUUGAAAAAUAAAGAUUUUGUUAAGAAAGCCUGGUAGCAACAUUCUAAGAACCUGGUUCAUAAAGUUCGACUGCCUGCUUGGGCCAGAAGAAACUUGAUUCAUCUAUUUUUUCAUAAGAAGGGACCCAAGUGGAUCUGGGUGCCCAAAUCUAACUUUUGACUAUUUUUACAAGUAAAGGUGAGGAGAGAGAACAAGCCUUGGUAUCUGGAUAGUGCAUGUUCUAGACAUAUAAUAGGAGCACGUGAAAAUUUCCUCUCACCGACAGACCUUCAAGGAGGAAGUGUAGCUUUAGAAAAUGGAAAAACAGGUGAAAUAGUUGGGAUUAGAAAAGUCGAAAAGUCUCAAUCUCAUGAAAUUGAGAAUGUGUACUAUGUUCUUAGUCUGAAACACAAUUUUUUAAGUGUGUCUCAGAUGUGCGAUAAGGGAAAUAAUGUGAUGUUCACUUUCGCUGAAUGUCUGGUUACAAACUCAAAGACUAGGAACCUGGUCUUAAGAGGAAAAAUAUACAAAAAUGUAUACAAGGCAGACAUUAUGGAACCUCAUGGUAAUAAUCUUAUGUGCCUUACUGCAGUUUUUGAAACCAACUUGAUAUGGCACAAAAGAUUGGGGUAUGCUAGCUUCUCUCAACUGAACAAAUUGGUUGCUAAGGACCUGGUUUUUGGACUGCCUAAUACUCGAUUCAACGAGGGCAUUAUUUGUGAUGCUUGUGCAAGAGAAAAUCAUGUCAGAUCAUCCUUAAAGCCUAAGAAAAUGGUCAGUACUUCCAAAUCCCUUAAAUUAUUGCACAUGGAUCUAUGUGGACCCAUGCGAGUUCAAAGCAGAAGAGGUAAAAGGUAUGUGUUUGUUAUUGUUGACGAUUAUUCAAGAUUCACUUGGACUCUCUUUCUUGGUUAUAAAGAUGAUACAUUUGAUGUAUUUGUGGUUUUUGUGAAACUGGUUCAAAAAAAUUGAACUCUAAAAUCAUAAGCAUCAGGUCUGGCCAUAGUACAGAAUUUGAGAAUUCAAAAUUUCUUGAAUUUUGUGCUGAACAUAGAAUAGACCACAAUUUUUCAGCCCCUAGAACCCCACAACAAAAUGGGGUUGUAGAAAGAAAAAACAGAGCCUUGGAAGACAUGGCAAGAACUAUGUUGAUUGCCAGUGGUUUUCCAAUGGGAUACUGGGCUGAAGCUAUAAACACAGCAUGCUACCUUUUGAAUAGAUGCAUGGUUCAUCCUCUCCUUGAAAAAACUCACUAUGAGUUACUGAAAGGCAUAAAACCUAAUAUUGCUCAUCUAAGGGCUUUUGGGUGUAAAUGCUUUGUUCACAUCAAGGGCAAAGAACCUCUAGGAAAGUUCGAUGCCAAAAGUGAUGAGGGAAUUUUUCUUGGUUACUCAUCCCAGAGUAAAACCUAUAAAGUGUUAAAUAGAAGAACUAAUCGAGUUAAGGAGAGUGUUCGUGUGAUUUUUGAUGAAACUAAUCACUUGGCUAAGGAAGAUAUACAGGUUAACAGGGAAGGACUUGGAUUUUUCAGUGAUGAUGAUGAGGAUCAGGAAGUUUCAUCACAACAAGAACUUAGUUCCUAAAAUCAGAGAGAACCUGGUUCUCAAGCUAUUCUGGAAAAUGAUCAACCCAGCAACACCAGUGAUGAAUCUCACACCAUUGAGGGGUUAACAGUAUCAGGAGGAACAAAUGAAAAACUUGCUAAACUAGGAAAUACCAGUACACAAGUACAAAGUACCUUAACAUCAGAAGAUGGACAAAGAUCAUAGGUCCAUAAUUGGAAGCAUAAGAGUUCCACACCCUGUGGAGAAUAUUCUUACCCCCGUAGACUCCGGCAUGCAGACUAGAUCAAAAUUGAGAAACUUGUGGGCCUUCUUAGCUUAUGUUUCCUUGGUGGAACCUAAGAAUAUUAAGAAAGAACUAUUGCAUAAUGAGUGGAUUAUUGCCAUGCAAGAAGAGCUGAACUAGUUCGAGCGCUGCAAAGUUUGGAACCUGGUUUCUGCACCUCCAAACAGAACAAUUAUAGAAACUCGAUGGGUGUUUCAAAAUAAAAAGGGUGACCAAGGAAAAAUAACCAGAAUUAAGGCAAGGUUAGUUAUUCAAGUAUACAACCAAGAGAAAGGCAUUGACUAUGAAGAAACCUUCAUACUAGUGGCACAAAUGGAGGUUAUUCGGCUGUUCAUAGCUUUUGUUGCUCAUAUGGGCUUCACUUUGUACCAAAUGGAUGUUAAGAGUGUAUUUCUUAAUGGUUAUCUUUAGGAGGAAGUCUACAUUCAUCAGCCACCAGGUUUUGAAAGUCAUGAGCAUCCUGAAUAUGUCUACAAGCUAGACAAAGCACUGUAUGACUUGAAACAAGCACCUCGGGCAUGGUAUGAUAGGUUGUCAAAAUUUUUACUUAACCACGGGUAUUCUCGCGGAAAAAUUGAUAACAUAUUAUUUAUCAAAAGAAGAAGAACAAGUCUCUUAAUCGUACAAGUGUAUGUGGAUGAUAUUAUCUUUGGUGCCACUGAUGAAGCUUUAUGUGAAGAAUUCUCUAAGAUGAUGAGCGGAGAUUUUGAAAUGAGUAUGAUGGGUGAGCUCACAUUUUUUCUUGGUCUUAAAAUUAAACAGACUCCUAAGGGGAUAUCUAUUCAUUGGGAGAAGUACAUCAAGGAGUUGCUGCACAAGUUUGAUAUGGGUAAUGCAAAGUCAACUGACACUCUUAUUAGUGUCAGCACAAGAUUGGAUUUGGAUAAAUCUGGUAUUCCUGUUGGAGAGACCAGGUAUCGGGGAAUGAUUGGCUCACUUAUGUAUCUCACAGCAAGUCACCCAGAUAUCGUGUACAGUGUUGGUUUAUAUGCUAGGUUUCAAUCAAAUCCUAAGGAAUCACACUUGAAAGCUAUUAAACAGAUUCUUAGGUACCUCAAGGAAACUCAGAACCUGGUUCUCUGGUACCCUUGUGGAGAUUCAUUAAACUUGGUAGGGUAUGUAAAUGCAGACUAUGUUGGAUACUUAGUGGAUUAUAAAAGCACUUCUGGGAUGGCUCACUUCUUGGGCUCGUUCCUAAUAUCAUGGGCCACAAGAAAACAGAAUUAUGUCACCUUAUCCACAACCGAGGCUGAAUACGUUGCAGCUGCCUCUUGCUGUGCAUAGUUAUUAUGGAUUAAACAAAAAUUAGAGGAUUAUGAUGUGAAGAUUGGAUGUAUUCCAAUCAUGUGCGACAACACAAGUGCCAUGAAUAUGGCUAGGAACUCGGUUCACCACAAGAGGACUAAGCAUAUUGAUGUAAGACAUCACUUUUUGAGGGAUAAUGUUGAGAAAGGAAAAAUUGAAGUCUGUUUUUGCAAAACUGAGGAUCAAUUAGUGGACAUAUUCACUAAGGCCUUGAGCAGAGAGAAUUUUGAGAAGAACCGAAUCGAUCUUGAUCUACUCACUAUGAACUAAUGUUAUGGACUUUCCCUCAUGUAUUUUGGCUAAAAAAGAUGACAAACACCAGUUUGUACAUAACUAAUUUAGAUUCAUAUUUUUAUAGGUACACAUUCUAGGCAUUAUCCAAAUACAAGGCAAGAUAGGUUCAUUGAUUAUACUUUAGCUUCUAGAGCAACUGAGCACGGAGAAGAGUAAAAAAUAAAUAAACUAUCAGGUAUGUACCAUAUAGUCAUGUACUGUGUAUGGUUUGUACAAAAUGUGUCAAAUUCUUGAGCACUAGUAGAAACCUGAUUCCUAUAUUCCUGAAGAUGUUUCACCAAGUUUGGGUGCCAAAAAUUCUUGUCUCUUAAACUUAUAAAAAAAACACAAACUGCUCAUGGUCUUCUUGUUCCUUUUUCGAUGGAGUCCAAAACUUGGUUGUUGGUGGAGUAUCCGACAAUGAUGACUCUUCUCCACCACAAACCAAAAACAUGUUCGUUACUCCACAUAUCUCUCCAUCGACAUGUUCUCAGGGGAAAGAAAUUAACCUCAUUGGUGCAAAUUUGGUCAUUGGUGAUAAUGUUGAUUCAAUUCCGAGCGAUGCUGAGUCAGAUUCAGAUGAUAAUAUUUCUAUUGGUACUUGUUUAAUUGCUCUCGGGGAAAAAGAAUUCAUCUUCCAUCCAUCGUUCCCUCUAAAAGAUGUUCUUCUUGCUGAACUGUUCUUGCACAAAAGCGUUUUGAAAUGAUGAUGUCCUUGGUUGGCCGAAUUCCUUCACCUCUUCUUCCACCUUGCUCUUAGUCCUAUAUUUCAUGUCUUGUUCCCUCUAGUACCUUUGGCCUGACUACUGGUCAGACUUAUCAUUUUUGUGCGGCACAUAUAGUGCUCGAUAAGUUGGUCCAAUGCCUUGGUUGUUGUUGUUUGCUCUGUUUUCUGUGUUUAUGUGUGCUACUGGAUAAUUUAUAUGAUUGGGCUGAUUUUUGCUUACUAUUUUGGUGGUGUUCUGGUUAGUGUUCUCUGUAUUAUCCUAUUUCGUCUUCUUUUCAAUGAUGCCAAAAGGGGGAAGUUCGUGUAUUCACAUUUUUUGUGAGACAUGGGGACUAUGUUUGUGAAGUUAUGUUGUACAUGUGCAUUAUUUGCCAUCAUAAAAAAGGGGGAAUAUGUGGGAAUUGUAGUUUUGAUGAUUGAUUUAUGAAUCAGGUUCAUGUUUAUUAUGAACCUGGCUCUCGGUUUUUGUGGGGCUGAUAAUUGACUUUUGAACCAGGUUCAUGUUUAUUAUGAACCAGGUUCUCGAUUAUUGUGGGGCUGGCCUAUUUGUCUAGGUGACGUGCAACAGCGUAAUUGUUUAAAUAAGGAAUGCAUAAUUAAUGUUUUGAAAAGAAUCCAAAAUCUUACUGUCAAAAGAAAAUCCUUUUACUAUGGUAAAGAAUGUAUUCUAGCAGGUUUCCUUAUGCAAGUUGCUUUCCACAAGGAAAGAUUUUUUGGUGACCUAAAUGGAGUGUAAGUACAAGCAGUAUAUAUGCAGCAUUGCUGUGAAUUGGCGUACACUCCUCCUUGCAAACGCACAGAUCUGAAAAUCGCUAAAAAGCAAGAAGGAGCUAGCAAAUAAAUGAACAAUAACUAUUUGGUGCUGUCAAUAGAAGUGUUUCUUUUGAGUUGUAAUUGUCUUUGUUUUAUUGAUAGAAGUGAAGUGAUGGUGAGGUGUUGUAACAAGAAGCGAGUUUAACUUCUUGGAGAGAUUAAGUUGUGUGAAGAGCAGUUAGAGUUAACUGUCGAAGUGAGGUACUCGAGUGAGUCCCUUAGGUUGCUGAGUUGUAAUCUGAAACGUUAUGAAAGUAGUGGAGAUUGGAGUCGAAAUAUUCUAACAAAAUUCUGUGUCCAGUUUGCUGUUACUGUUAUUAUGUUUCUCUGAACCAGGUUCCAAAUACGCUUGGUGAAGUUAGUUGUUUUAUC
rnacentral:lncRNA from 1 species